GCAGAAGCCGGCGAGCGAGCGAGGCUCGCCGAAUGGACGGAACGCCGCCCGUACGCCAGUCGACCGUGAGAAGCACAACGCUCGCCUGGAGCCUUCCCGGGCUUCCGCCGCCUCCCGCGGAAGGGAAAUUCAAGAAGGAACAACACAGUCCUACAUGGCCCCUCCCCCAACCGUGCCUUCCUGUCUCGUCUGCUUUCUCUUCCUCUCAAGUUAGCAUCUACUGCCAUAAGGUAGUGUGUUCAAAGACUGGCUACUCUAGGCGUGUGCAGCUCAUGUGCGUGAAUGCAUGCAAUGCAGAGCACCUUAAUCUGGCUGCUCGUUAUUGGGAGCCCUUAAUGUGUAUGUAGUAGCAUUAUCACAUUAAGUAACAUUAAAUAUUCUAAUUCAUUACUCUUCUUACGUAUAUUAACUUAAAAACACAUUUUUGUCAAAAUUUAAACAUUGCUGUCACUGGGGAAGGUCUGAGAGUAUUGCUAUGCUUGGACUUUACCAGGUGAGAUAAGACCAUUUUCUUAAUUAAUGUGUGGAACAGGGAUGCUAGGAAAAACUCCAUGAACGUCCUAGCAUUUGCUAAAGGCUGUAUUGAUGGCUCAACGUGACGAUGUAUGCACUCAAUAAAAGAUGUAUGCACUCAAUAAAAAUCUUAA
rnacentral:lncRNA from 1 species